rnacentral:tRNA from 1 species
GUUGUUGUUGGGUGUGUGGUAGAAUUCUCGCCUGCCACGCGGAGGUCCGGGUUCGAUUCCCGGUAGCCGUG